rnacentral:rRNA from 1 species
AACGUACGCUGGCGGCACGCCUAACACAUGCAAGUCGAACGAAGUAGCAAUACUUAGUGGCAGACGGGUGAGUAACAUGUAGGUAUCUGCCCUUUGGCCUGGAAUAACACGAGGAAACUUGUGCUAAUACCGGAUAAGUCUUUACGGAGAAAGCUUUAUGCACCAUUGGAUGAGCCUGCACUUGAUUAGUUUGUUGGUGGGGUAAUGGCCUACCAAGACUGUGAUCAAUAGCUGAUUUGAGAGGAUGAUCAGCCACAUUGGGACUGAGACACGGCCCAAACUCCUACGGGAGGCAGCAGUGGGGAAUCUUGCACAAUGGAGGAAACUCUGAUGCAGCGAUGCCGCGUGAGUGAAGAAGGCCCUUGGGUUGUAAAGCUCUUUCGUCGGGGAAGAAAAUGACUGUACCCGAAUAAGAAGGUCCGGCUAACUUCGUGCCAGCAGCCGCGGUAAUACGAAGGGACCUAGCGUAGUUCGGAAUUACUGGGCUUAAAGAGUUCGUAGGUGGUUGAAAAAGUUAGUGGUGAAAUCCCAGAGCUUAACUCUGGAACUGCCACUAAAACUUUUCAGCUAGAGUAUGAUAGAGGAAAGCAGAAUUUCUAGUGUAGAGGUGAAAUUCGUAGAUAUUAGAAAGAAUACCAAUUGCGAAGGCAGCUUUCUGGAUCAUUACUGACACUGAGGAACGAAAGCAUGGGUAGCGAAGAGGAUUAGAUACCCUCGUAGUCCAUGCCGUAAACGAUGUGUGUUAGACGUUGGAAAUUUAUUUUCAGUGUCGCAGGGAAACCGAUAAACACACCGCCUGGGGAGUACGACCGCAAGGUUAAAACUCAAAUGAAUUGACGGGGACCCGCACAAGUAGUGGAGCAUGUGGUUUAAUUCGAAGAUACGCGCAGAACCUUACCAACACUUGACAUGUUCGUCGCGACUCUAAGAGAUUAGAGUUUUCGGUUCGGCCGGACGAAACACAGGUGCUGCAUGGCUGUCGUCAGCUCGUGUCGUGAGAUGUUGGGUUAAGUCCCGCAACGAGCGCAACCCUCACUUUUAGUUGCCAUCAUUAAGUUGGGCACUCUGAAAGAACUGCCAGUGAUAAGCUGGAGGAAGGUGGGGAUGACGUCAAGUCCUCAUGGCCCUUACGUGUUGGGCUACACACGUGCUACAAUGGUAUCUACAACAGGAAGCAAGACUGCGAAGUUAAGCAAAUCCCUAAAAGAUACCUCAGUUCGGAUUGCACUCUGCAACUCGAGUGCAUGAAGCUGGAAUUACUAGUAAUCGUGGAUCAGCGUGCCACGGUGAAUGCGUUCCCGGGUCU